rnacentral:rRNA from 1 species
UGCCCUACAGCUCCCCGCCCGGAAGCAAGGAGCUGGUAUCAGGCACACCCUAUUGAGCCCAUGACACCUUGCUUAGCCACACCCUCAAGGGAACUCAGCAGUGAUAAACAUUAAGCCAUAAGUGAAAACUUGACUUAGUUAAAGCUAAGAGGGCCGGUAAAACUCGUGCCAGCCACCGCGGUUAUACGAGAGGCCCAAGUUGACAAACACCGGCGUAAAGAGUGGUUAAGUUAAAACACAUACUAAAGCCAAACGUCUUCAAGGCUGUUAUACGCAACCGAAGACAGGAAGUUCAACCACGAAAGUGGCUUUAUCUACCUGAACCCACGAAAGCUAAGGAACAAACUGGGAUUAGAUACCCCACUAUGCCUAGCCCUAAACAUUGAUAGUACUAUACACCCACUAUCCGCCCGGGAACUACGAGCAAUAGCUUAAAACCCAAAGGACUUGGCGGUGCUUUAGAUCCACCUAGAGGAGCCUGUUCUAGAACCGAUACCCCCCGUUCAACCUCACCCUUCCUUGUUUAACCCGCCUAUAUACCGCCGUCGUCAGCUUACCCUGUGAGGGAUUAAUAGUAAGCAAAGCUGGUACAACCUUAAACGUCAGGUCGAGGUGUAGCGUAUGGAGGGGGAAGAAAUGGGCUACAUUCGCUUCUACAGCGAACACGAAUGAUGCACUGAAACGUACAUCUGAAGGAGGAUUUAGCAGUAAGCAG